rnacentral:rRNA from 1 species
AUACGAAAGGUGCAAGCGUUGCUCGGAUUUACUGGGCGUAAAGAGAGUGUAGGUUGUUUAUUAAGUCGGAUGUGAAAUCCCGGGGCUCAACCUCGGAACUGCAUUCGAUACUGAUAGGCUAGAGUUUGGGAGGGGUAAGCGGAAUUCCGUGUGUAGCAGUGAAAUGCGUAGAUAUACGGAGGAACACCUGAGGCGAAGGCGGCUUACUGGACCAAUACUGACACUGAGACUCGAAAGCGUGGGUAGCAAACAGGAUUAGAAACCCCAGUAGUCC